UUGAACGCUGGCGGCAGGCCUAACACAUGCAAGUCGAACGGUAACAGAAAGCAGCUUGCUGCUUUGCUGACGAGUGGCGGACGGGUGAGUAAUGUCUGGGAAACUGCCCGAUGGAGGGGGAUAACUACUGGAAACGGUAGCUAAUACCGCAUAACGUCGCAAGACCAAAGAGGGGGACCUUAGGGCCUCUUGCCAUCGGAUGUGCCCAGAUGGGAUUAGCUAGUAGGUGGGGUAAAGACUCACCUAGGCGACGAUCCCUAGCUGGUCUGAGAGGAUGACCAGCCACACUGGAACUGAGACACGGUCCAGACUCCUACGGGAGGCAGCAGUGGGGAAUAUUGCACAAUGGGCGCAAGCCUGAUGCAGCCAUGCCGCGUGUAUGAAGAAGGCCUUCGGGUUGUAAAGUACUUUCAGCGGGGAGGAAGGGAGUAAAGUUAAUACCUUUGCUCAUUGACGUUACCCGCAGAAGAAGCACCGGCUAACUCCGUGCCAGCAGCCGCGGUAAUACGGAGGGUGCAAGCGUUAAUCGGAAUUACUGGGCGUAAAGCGCACGCAGGCGGUUUGUUAAGUCAGAUGUGAAAUCCCCGGGCUCAACCUGGGAACUGCAUCUGAUACUGGCAAGCUUGAGUCUCGUAGAGGGGGGUAGAAUUCCAGGUGUAGCGGUGAAAUGCGUAGAGAUCUGGAGGAAUACCGGUGGCGAAGGCGGCCCCCUGGACGAAGACUGACGCUCAGGUGCGAAAGCGUGGGGAGCAAACAGGAUUAGAUACCCUGGUAGUCCACGCCGUAAACGAUGUCGACUUGGAGGUUGUGCCCUUGAGGCGUGGCUUCCGGAGCUAACGCGUUAAGUCGACCGCCUGGGGAGUACGGCCGCAAGGUUAAAACUCAAAUGAAUUGACGGGGGCCCGCACAAGCGGUGGAGCAUGUGGUUUAAUUCGAUGCAACGCGAAGAACCUUACCUGGUCUUGACAUCCACGGAAGUUUUCAGAGAUGAGAAUGUGCCUUCGGGAACCGUGAGACAGGUGCUGCAUGGCUGUCGUCAGCUCGUGUUGUGAAAUGUUGGGUUAAGUCCCGCAACGAGCGCAACCCUUAUCCUUUGUUGCCAGCGGUCCGGCCGGGAACUCAAAGGAGACUGCCAGUGAUAAACUGGAGGAAGGUGGGGAUGACGUCAAGUCAUCAUGGCCCUUACGACCAGGGCUACACACGUGCUACAAUGGCGCAUACAAAGAGAAGCGACCUCGCGAGAGCAAGCGGACCUCAUAAAGUGCGUCGUAGUCCGGAUUGGAGUCUGCAACUCGACUCCAUGAAGUCGGAAUCGCUAGUAAUCGUGGAUCAGAAUGCCACGGUGAAUACGUUCCCGGGCCUUGUACACACCGCCCGUCACACCAUGGGAGUGGGUUGCAAAAGAAGUAGGUAGCUUAACCUUCGGGAGGGCGCUUACCACUUUGUGAUUCAUGACUGGGGUG
rnacentral:rRNA from 1 species